rnacentral:rRNA from 1 species
CCUACGGGAGGCAGCAGUAAGGAAUAUUGGGCAAUGGACGCAAGUCUGACCCAGCCAUGCCGCGUGAAGGAUUAAGGUCCUCUGGAUUGUAAACUUCUUUUCUCUGGGGCGAAAACCAGCUAUUCUUAGCUAUUUGACAGUACCAGAGGAAUAAGCACCGGCUAACUCCGUGCCAGCAGCCGCGGUAA